UGCGUAGGUGGCUACGUAAGUUAGAUGUGAAAUUCCAGGGCUUAACCUUGGGGCUGCGUCUAAUACUGUGUAGCUAGAGUGCUGUAGAGGGUAGUGGAAUUUCCGGUGUAGCGGUGAAAUGCGUAGAUAUCGGAAGGAACACCAGUGGCGAAGGCGACUAUCUGGACAGACACUGACACUGAGGCACGAAAGCAUGGGUAGCAAACAGGAUUAGAUACCCUGGUAGUCCAUGCUGUAAACGAUGAGAACUAGCUGUUGGGCGGUUAAACCCGUUUAGUAGCGAAGCAAGCGCGUUAAGUUCUCCGCCUGGGGAGUACGGCCGCAAGGUUAAA
rnacentral:rRNA from 1 species